rnacentral:rRNA from 1 species
CGGGAAGGCCUCGCGUGUGCCUCGAGAUUAGAGUUUGAUCCUGGCUCAGAUUGAACGCUGGCGGCAGGCUUAACACAUGCAAGUCGAGCGGUAACAGGAAUUAGCUUGCUAAUUUGCUGACGAGCGGCGGACGGGUGAGUAACGCGUAGGAAUCUGCCUGGUAGUGGGGGACAACAUGUGGAAACGCAUGCUAAUACCGCAUACGCCCUACGGGGGAAAGGAGGGGAUCUUCGGACCUUUCGCUAUCAGAUGAGCCUGCGUGAGAUUAGCUAGUUGGUGGGGUAAAGGCUCACCAAGGCGACGAUCUCUAGCUGGUCUGAGAGGAUGAUCAGCCACACUGGGACUGAGACACGGCCCAGACUCCUACGGGAGGCAGCAGUGGGGAAUAUUGGACAAUGGGCGCAAGCCUGAUCCAGCCAUGCCGCGUGUGUGAAGAAGGCCUUCGGGUUGUAAAGCACUUUCAGCGAGGAGGAAAGGUUGUCAGUUAAUACCUGGCAGCUGUGACGUUACUCGCAGAAGAAGCACCGGCUAACUCCGUGCCAGCAGCCGCGGUAA